rnacentral:rRNA from 1 species
UACGGAGGGGGCUAGCGUUGUUCGGAAUUACUGGGCGUAAAGCGCACGUAGGCGGCUUUGUAAGUUAGAGGUGAAAGCCCGGAGCUCAACUCCGGAACUGCCAUUGAAACUGUUUAGCUUGAGGAUGAGAGAGGUGAGUGGAAUUCCCAGUGUAGAGGUGAAAUUCGUAGAUAUUGGGAAGAACACCGGUGGCGAAGGCGGGUCUCUGGGCAGUAACUGACGCUGAGGAGCGAAAGCGUGGGGAGCGAACAGG